GGACAUCGCUCAGUGGCUGAGCGUCUGCCUCACGUGCAGAAGGUCUUGGGUUCAAUCCCCGACAUCUCCC